CCUACGGGGAGCAGCAGUGAGGAAUAUUGGUCAAUGGACGAGAGUCUGAACCAGCCAAGUAGCGUGAAGGAUGACUGCCCUAUGGGUUGUAAACUUCUUUUAUAAAGGAAUAAAACGAGGCACGUGUGCCUUUUUGCAUGUACUUUAUGAAUAAGGAUCGGCUAACUCCGUGCCAGCAGCCGCGGUAAUACGGAAGAUCCGAGCGUUAUCCGGCUUUAUUGGGUUUAAAGGGAGCGUAGAUGGGUUGUUAAGUCAUUUGUAAAAGUUUGCGGCUCAACCGUAAAAUUGCAAUUGAUACUGGCAGUCUUGAGUACAGUUGAGGUAGGCGGAAUUCGUGGUGUAGCGGUGAAAUGCUUAGAUAUCACGAAGAACCCCGAUUGCGAAGGCAGCUUACUAAACUGUGACUGACAUUGAUGCUCGAAAGUGUGGGUAUCAAACAGGAUUAGAUACCCGAGUAGUC
rnacentral:rRNA from 1 species